CAGUAGCCGCGGGAAUACGUAGGUGGCAAGCGUUGUCCGGAAUUAUUGGGCGUAAAGGGCUCGCAGGCGGUUUCUUAGGUCUGAUGUGAAAGCUCCCGGCUCAACCGGGGAGGGUCAUUGGAAACUGGGAAACUUGAGUGCAGAAGAGGAGAGUGGAAUUCCACGUGUAGCGGUGAAAUGCGUAGAGAUGUGGAGGAACACCAGUGGCGAAGGCGACUCUCUGGUCUGUAACUGACGCUGAGGAGCGAAAGCGUGGGAGCGAACAGGAUUAGAUACCCCCGUAGUCCCUGUCUCUUAUACC
rnacentral:rRNA from 1 species